UUUUCUACAAGGGUUUUUACUAAGGGUUUUCUGAUGUUACGUGCAACCAAUACGUAAAAUUUUACGAAGCAAUCAUGUCGUAUCUAACAGGAGGUAGACUGAAUGGGACUUAUUCAGGAACAGACGAAGAACCGAUUGUUUUGCCUGCUGGAAAAAUGCGAUGUCCCAAAGGCUAUUGUAUGAAACCAGUCGUUGGCCGGACCGAUCGCCAAGUAUAAUUUAUUAGAAUACGGUGUUGUGAAAAUGUAUCCACUGUAUGGUGGAACUUUGAUAAUACCACCUAAUAUUGCUAAUGUUAUAUUUAUCUCGAGGCCACAGUUGGAGCUUAUGGAUCUGAUUGCGGAAAAUGUUCACAGAGAUAAAAAUUUUAACGACAUUGAGCCAGUUCUUAGUAAGAAAGCUAAAGUGAUUUCAUCUCAAUAUGACGAAAGACAUGGAGAUAAGAAUGUGCAAGAAAUUAAGCAGUUUGUUGCACGAUUACCAUAUAUGCUAGCAACAAAACAACUGGAAAAGGCUGGUUUAUUAAAAGUAGCAGUUAGUACGACAAGAUGCAAUAUUAAGGAAAGCAUUAAGGCUCACUAUCGAAGACGAGAGUGAAGUAACACCGAAAGAUAUUCCAUGUACGCACCACUGAAUGUGAGAUUGACCGAGUAACUAGUACAACCAAAUAAUUAGCAAGGAUUAUACAACGUAAUGGGAUCAUUGUGAGGUCCUACUGUAAGCAGCGUCCCAUACAAUGUACUUUCGUCAACGAGACGAAAUUCUAUUACUAGCGAAAAUUCUGAUUCUGAACCACCGAAAUUAAUUCUGGUCAUUUUCAAUGAAGGAUGCACUUUCGCUGAAAUAUCUACUCUUCGGUUUCUAUCGCGGAAGAGCUAAAUGUCGAGUUUGUCGUGGGAACUACAACAUUAAUAAAUGGCAACACGUUUCUUACUUCUUUGAUGGAAGAUUUAGAACGGACAUGAGAAGAGGAUUGCUUAAACUAGAGUAUUGAAAUAGAAUAGUAAAUAUUUUUUAUGUGAUGAAGUAAACUAAAUAUCAUAUCCCAAGCAGAACAUCAAGUCACUAUGAUAUCAAAAUGAUCAUUAAAAGUCAUUUUUCACUUAUUUCCGAUUCAUUUUAAUGUAAUUUUGACGUUAUCAUGACUU